GGACUACUGGGGUAUCUAAUCCUGUUUGCUCCCCUAGCUUUCGCGCCUCAGCGUCUGUUUCAGCCCAGAAAAUCGUCUUCACCACCGGUGUUCUUCCACAUAUCUACGCAUUUCACCGCUACACGUGGAAUUCCAUUUUCCCUAACUGAACUCUAGCCAAAUAGUUUCAAAUGCUGCUCCGGGGUUGAGCCCCGGAAUUUCACAUCUGACUGGUUUGGCCGCCUACGCGCCCUUUACGCCCAGUAAUUCCGAUCAAUGCUUGCACCCUCCGUAUUACCGCGGCGGCUGGCAC
rnacentral:rRNA from 1 species